GAUGAACGCUAGCGGCGGGCUUAAUACAUGCAAGUCAAGGGGUAGCAAUACACCGGCGUACGGGUGCGUAACGCGUAUGGAACCUGCCCUUAUCUGGGGGAUAACUCGGGGAAACUCGAGCUAAUACCGCAUAAGAUAGUAGAGAGGCAUCUUUCAGCUAUUAAAGAUUUAUCGGAUAAGGAUGGCCAUGCGUAAGAUUAGAUAGUUGGCGAGGUAACGGCUCACCAAGUCUACGAUCUUUAGGGGCUCUGAGAGGAGAAUCCCCCACACUGGCACUGAGAUACGGGCCAGACUCCUACGGGAGGCAGCAGUAGGGAAUAUUGGGCAAUGGGCGGAAGCCUGACCCAGCCACGCCGCGUGCAGGAAGACGGCCCUCUGGGUUGUAAACUGCUUUUAACUGGGAAAGAAAGCAGCUCAUGCGUGAGAAUUUGACGGUACCAGCUGAAUAAGCCA
rnacentral:rRNA from 1 species